rnacentral:snRNA from 1 species
CGAUAUGAGGGCAUUUUGGCUGUGACACGUCACCCCAUUGAUUGCCAGGAUUGAUUUGGCUAAUCUAUUUGGUUAGGAAACUCUCCCUUUCCUCCUUCAAUGCUCCAUGUGCAUCACUCCCAAAAUUGCAGGCUCCAUCAAAGAGGAUGGUGGAGGACUGCUGAUAGAGGAGGACCAUUCCUUGCUCAAGGGUAUAUAAGUAGCUACGCUUUUCUUCUAGAUGCUCCAAACAAGGUCUCAAAAAUAUGUCUGACAUAUAUGAAGUCCUUUACAGGUGAUCCAGUGUUUGACAGUAUCUCUUCAUUU